CCUACGGGUGGCAGCAGUGAGGAAUAUUGGUCAAUGGACGCAAGUCUGAACCAGCCAUGCCGCGUGCAGGAAGACGGCUCUAUGAGUUGUAAACUGCUUUUGUACGAGGGUAGAUCCCGAUACGUGUAUCGGGUUGAAAGUAUCGUACGAAUAAGGGUCGGCUAACUCCGGGCCAGCAGGCGCGGUAAUACGGAGGAUUCAAGCGUUAUCCGGAUUUAUUGGGUUGAAAGGGUGCGUAGGCGGUUCGAUAAGUUAGAGGUGAAAGCCCGGGGCUCAACUCCGGCACUGCCUCUGAUACUGUCGGGGUAGAGUUUAGUUGCGGUAGGCUGAAUGUAUGGUGUAGCGGGGAAAUGCAUAGAGAUCAUACAGAACACCGAUUGCGAAGGCAGCUUACCAAACUACGACUGACGUUGAGGCACGAAAGCGGGGGGAGCAAACAGGAUUAGAUACCCGGGUAGUC
rnacentral:rRNA from 1 species